CACGGAGUUAGCCGAUCCUUAUUCCUUCGGUACAUUCAGCUUAUUACACGUAAUAAGGUUUAUUCCCGAAUAAAAGCAGUUUACAACCCAUAGGGCAGUCUUCCUGCACGCGGCAUGGCUGGUUCAGAGUUGCCUCCAUUGACCAAUAUUCCUUACUGCUGCCUCCCGUAGGAGUCUGGUCCGUGUCUCAGUACCAGUGUGGGGGGCCAUCCUCUCAGAUCCCCUAGUCAUCGUCGCCUUGGUGGGCCGUUACCCCGCCAACUAGCUAAUGACACGCAUGCCCAUCUCCAUCCCAUAAAUGUUUGAUCAUUGGAUAAUGCCAUCCUGUGAUUUUAUGCGGUAUUAAUCCGGAUUUCUCCGGGCUAUCCCCCAGAUGAAGGUAGGUUGCAUACGCGUUACGCACCCGUGCGCCGGUCUCAAAGAAGCAAGCCUCUUCUACCCCUCGACUUGCAUGUAUUAGGCCUGCCGCUAGCGUUCAUCCUGAGCCAGGAUCAAA
rnacentral:rRNA from 1 species